GACGAACGCUGGCGGCGUGCCUAACACAUGCAAGUCGAGCGGGGAUUUAAGUGGAAGUUCUUCGGAAUGGAGAUUUAAAUUCUAGCGGCGGACGGGUGAGUAACGCGUGAACAAUCUGUCCCGGACAGGGGGAUAACACUUGGAAACAGGUGCUAAUACCGCAUAAGACCACGGCCUCGCAUGGGGCUGAGGUAAAAGGAGCAAUCCGGCUCGGGGUGAGUUCGCGUCCGAUUAGCUAGUUGGUGAGGUAACGGCCCACCAAGGCGACGAUCGGUAGCCGGCCUGAGAGGGUGAACGGCCACAUUGGAACUGAGAGACGGUCCAAACUCCUACGGGAGGCAGCAGUGGGGAAUAUUGGGCAAUGGGCGAAAGCCUGACCCAGCAACGCCGCGUGAGGGAAGAAGGUUUUCGGAUUGUAAAUCUCUGUCCUAUGGGACGAAGGAAGUGACGGUACCAUAGGAGGAAGCCCCGGCUAACUACGUG
rnacentral:rRNA from 1 species